GGGACUGUGGUGAAGUGUUAUCAUACCUGCCUCCAGAGCAGUAGUCGGGGGUUAAAUUCCCUCCAGUCCCA
rnacentral:tRNA from 1 species